AACGAACGCUGGCGGCAUGCCUAACACAUGCAAGUCGAACGAGACCUUCGGGUCUAGUGGCGCACGGGUGCGUAACGCGUGGGAAUCUGCCCUUGGGUUCGGAAUAACAGUUGGAAACGACUGCUAAUACCGGAUGAUGACGUAAGUCCAAAGAUUUAUCGCCCAAGGAUGAGCCCGCGUAGGAUUAGCUAGUUGGUGAGGUAAAGGCUCACCAAGGCGACGAUCCUUAGCUGGUCUGAGAGGAUGAUCAGCCACACUGGGACUGAGACACGGCCCAGACUCCUACGGGAGGCAGCAGUGGGGAAUAUUGGACGAUGGGCGAAAGCCUGAUCCAGCAAGGACGGGUGAGUGAUGAAGGCCUUAGGGUUGUAAAGCUCUUUUACCCGGGAUGAUAAUGACAGUACCGGGAGAAUAAGCUCCGGCUAACUCCGUG
rnacentral:rRNA from 1 species